UCAGGAAACAAGACAAUCGCGUUGAAUCUUAACUCUAGGGUUAAUUCAGCGAGGAAAGUCCGAACACCGCAUGCACGGUAACGUGUAUGUAAAAAAGAGUGUUGCUAACGGCAACCAGGAGAAGAAUGGCUUGAGAAAUGGGAUCUAUUUCUUGAAUCAUCUGAAUCCUAGGGAAAGUGUCACAGAGACAAUACUAGCCCCCACACCUAUUUUAAUGACUACAUGAUUUGUCAUAAAAAUAGGUGUGGGGGUGAAACGUGAAAAGUUCGAUGAUGUCAUAGAGGACAGUCCCCUAUUGGCUACAUCGUUCGCUCCAUGGCAACAUGGAUGCGUGGUAAACCCACUCUGGUGCAAGAGCAAAUUUGGUAGCUCGCUUGACCCUAAGAGCAAUCUAAGGGCUAGAUAAAUGAUUGUCACCCGCAAGGGUUACAGAAUUCGGCUUAUUCGUUUCCUGAACAU
rnacentral:RNase_P_RNA from 1 species